rnacentral:rRNA from 1 species
GAUGAACGCUGACAGAAUGCUUAAUACAUGCAAGUCGAUGGGGCAGUGGUGCUUGCACCAUGGCUACCAUGGCGGACGGGUGAGUAACGCGUAAGGGACUUACCUGCAGGUCUGGGAUAACAGGGGGAAACUCCUGACAAGACCGGAUAAUGUCAUGGAGCUGCCUGGCUGUAUGAUGAAAGGAGACGCCUGCGGAGAGCCUUGCGUCCUAUUAGCUAGCUGGUAAGGUAAUGGCUCACCAAGGCGAAGAUAGGUAGCCGGCCUGAGAGGAUGGACGGCCACAAGGGGACUGGGAGACGGCCGUUAGGACUACUGGGGGAAGCGGUGAGGAAUAAUGGACCAUGGCCGCAACAGUGAUGAAGGAAUUCGGUGUGCACGAAGAAGGUUUUCGGAUAGUAAAGUGGUUUCAGCAAGGAUGAAGUAAGUGACGGUACCUACAGAGGAAGCGACGGCUAAAUACGUG